GCAGGCUGAAAUUCGCCUGCAUGAAGCCGGAAUUGCUAGUAAUGGCAGGUCAGCAUACUGCCGUGAAUACGUUCCCGGGCCUUGUACACACCGCCCGUCACACCAUGAGAGUUGGGGAUACCCAAAGCCCGUGAGCCAACUUUAAAAGAGGCAGCGGUCUAAGGUAGAAUCAAUGAUUGGGGUGAAGUCGUAACAAGGUAGC
rnacentral:rRNA from 1 species